rnacentral:pre_miRNA from 1 species
UUAAUACUCCCUCUGUCCGGAAAUACUUGUCGGAGAAAUGGAUGUAUCUAGAUGUAUUUUAGUUCUAGAUACAUCCAUUUUCAUCCAUUUUUGUGACAAGUAAUUCCGGACGGAGGGAGUACAUG